UACGUAGGGUGCGAGCGUUAAUCGGAAUACUGGGCGUAAAGCGUGCGCAGGCGGUUGGUUAAGUCUGAUGUGAAAGCCCCGGGCUCAACCUGGGAAUUGCAUUCGAGACUGCUCUGCUAGGGUGCGGAAGAGGGAAGCGGAAUUUCCGGUGUAGCGGUGAAAUGCGUAGAUAUCGGGAAGGAACACCAGUGGCGAAAGCGGCUCCUGGUCCAGCACCGGACGUUCAGGCACGAAAGCGUGGGGAGCAAACAGGG
rnacentral:rRNA from 1 species